CAGUAGCCGCGGUAAUACGUAGGUGGCAAGCGUUGUCCGGAUUUAUUGGGCGUAAAGCGAGCGCAGGCGGUUCCUUAAGUCUGAUGUGAAAGCCCACGGCUCAACCGUGGAAGGUCAUUGGAAACUGGGGAACUUGAGUGCAGAAGAGGAGAGUGGAAUUCCAUGUGUAGCGGUGAAAUGCGUAGAUAUAUGGAGGAACACCAAUGGCGAAGGCGACUCUCUGGUCUGUAACUGACGCUGAGGCUCGAAAGCGUGGGGAGCAAACAGGAUUAGAUACCCGUGUAGUCCCUGUCUCUUAUAC
rnacentral:rRNA from 1 species